rnacentral:rRNA from 1 species
AUUGAACGAUGGCGGCAUGCCUUACACAUGCAAGUCGAACGGUAACAGGUCUUCGGAUGCUGCCUAGUGGCGAACGGGUGAGUAAUACAUCGGAACGUGCCUAGUAGUGGGGGAUAACUACUCGAAAGAGUGGAAAGUACCGCAUGAGGUCUACGGAUGAAAGCAGGGGAGCGCAAGACCUUGUGCUACGAGGGCGGCCGAUGGCAGAUUAGGUAGUUGGUGGGAUAAAAGCUUACCAAGCCGAGGAUCUGUAGCGGGUCUGAGAGGACGAUCAGCCACACUGGGACUGAGACACGGCCCCGACUCCUACGGGAGGAAGCAGGGGGGAAUUUUGGACAAUGGGCGCAAGCCUGAUCCAGCAAUGCCGCGUGCAGGAUGAAGGCCUUCGGGUUGUAAACUGCUUUUGUACGGAACGAAAAGCCCUGGGUUAAUACCCUGGGGUCAUGACGGUACCGUAAGAAUAAGCACCGGCUAACUACGUGCCAGCCGCCGCAGUAAAUC